GCCCGAAUGGUGAAAUCGGUAGACACAAGGGAUUUAAAAUCCCUCGCCCUAAACAGGCGUGCCAGUUCGAUUCUGGCUUCGGGCACCA
rnacentral:tRNA from 2 species